AGCGAACGCUGGCGGCAGGCCUAACUCAUGCAAGUCGAACGAACCCUUCGGGGUUAGUGGCGGACGGGUGAGUAACACGUGGGAACAUGCCUUUAGGUUCGGAAUAACUCAGGGAAACUUGUGCUAAUACCGAAUGUGCCCUUCGGGGGAAAGAUUUAUCGCCUUUAGAGCGGCCCGCGUCUGAUUAGCUAGUUGGUGAGGUAAUGGCUCACCAAGGCUACGAUCAGUAGCUGGUCUGAGAGGAUGACCAGCCACAUUGGGACUGAGACACGGCCCAAACUCCUACGGGAGGCAGCAGUGGGGAAUCUUGCGCAAUGGGCGAAAGCCUGACGCAGCCAUGCCGCGUGGAUGAUGAAGGUCUUAGGAUUGUAAAAUCCUUUCACCGGUGAAGAUAAUGACUGUAGCCGGAGAAGAAGCCCCGGCUAACUUCGUGCCAGCCGCCGCAGUAAUAC
rnacentral:rRNA from 1 species